GAACGAAGAGUUUGAUCCUGGCUCAGGAUGAACGCUGGCGGCGUGCCUAACACAUGCAAGUCGAACGGUUAAGGCGGCUUCGGCCGCGGAUAAAGUGGCGA
rnacentral:rRNA from 1 species